rnacentral:rRNA from 1 species
GACGGAGGGUGCUAGCGUUGUUCGGAAUUACUGGGCGUAAAGGGCGCGUAGGCGGCCUGGUCAGUCGGAUGUGAAAGCCCGGGGCUCAACCCCGGAACGGCAUCCGAGACGGCCAGGCUGGAGACCGGGAGAGGAGAGUGGAAUAGCCAGUGUAGAGGUGAAAUUCGUAGAUAUUGGCUGGAACACCGGUGGCGAAAGCGGCUCUCUGGCCCGGUUCUGACGCUGAGGCGCGAAAGCGUGGGGGAGCAAACAGG